AUGUAUAAAAAUGCCAGCCCCGGCCCGGAUGGCUUCGGGCCAGGGUUUUACAGAAAAUUCUGGCAUACUCUCAAAGUAAAAAUCAAGCACUUCUUCCCUGAAUUUCAUGCCCAAACGACCGAUAUCUCCUGUCUCAACAGGGCCCUCAUUGUCCUUAUCCCUAAGCAUAAUGAGGCUCGAUCCCCUGCAGACUUCAGACCAAUCUCCCUCCAAAACUGCCCUAUAAAAGGAGUUGCAAAACUCCUUACUAACCGUCUAAAGGAACUCAUUCCCCUCUUGGUUCAUGCGGACCAAACGGGGUUUCUGUCAGGACGAAACAUCUCAGAAAACUUUCUCUAUGCGGCCGACAUCCUCCACUGCUGCACUAAAAGAAAAGCCCCCACCCUCAUCGUAAAACUUGACUUCAGGAAAGCCUUUGACUCUGUCUGUUGGUCCUCCCUCCUUCACACUUUGCAGGUUAGAGGGUUCCCCCCUCGUUGGUGCGCUUGGAUCCAGUCUCUCCUAAACACGGGUUCCACGGCAGUCAUGCUUAAUGGCAUCCCCGGAAGAUGGAUUCAAUGUAAGAAUGGCCUCCGGCAGGGUGAUCCUCUCUCGCCC
rnacentral:rRNA from 1 species